GCGCCCGUAGCUCAGUUGGAUAGAGCGCUUGCCUCCGGAGCAAGAGAUCAUGGGUUCGAAUCCCGUCGGGCGUACCA
rnacentral:tRNA from 1 species